UUCGGAGCUCACUUGCUUCAAAGUUCAUCGGAACUCCGAAGUUAAGCGAGUUCGGGAGAGAGCAUUCCCAAGAUGGGUGACCCACUAGGAAGUUCUCGUGUGAGUUCCUAGAAACAAAACCGUGAGGGCGUGGUCGGGGCCCAAAGCAGACAAUAUCGUGCUACAGUAGAGUCGAGCCUAGGAUGUGGUGGGGGUCCGGGCUACGGUAGAGUCGAGCCUAGGAUGUGGUGGGGGUCCGGGCCGGGAUGUGACAAUUUGGUAUCAGAGCCAAUCCCUAGUCAGAAGUGUGCCAACGAAGACGUCGAGCCCCUAAGGGGGGUGGAUUGUUAGAUCUCACAUCGUCCAGAGGAAUGGAUCAUGUAAGCCUUAUAUGUAUAUUCCCAUCUCUACCUAGCACGAGGCCUUUUGGAAGCUCACUGGCUUCAGGUUAGAAGCCUUUUGGGAGCUCACUGGCUUCGAGUUCUAUCGAAACUCCGAAGUUAAGUGAGUUCGGGCGAGAGCAUUCCUAGGAUGGGUGACCCACUGGGAAGUUGCUCGUGAGUUCCCAGA
rnacentral:sRNA from 1 species